CCUACGGGUGGCAGCAGUGAGGAAUAUUGGUCAAUGGGAGGAAUCCUGAACCAGCCAUGCCGCGUGCAGGACGACGGCUCUACGAGGUGUAAACUGCUGUUGUACCGGGGUAAAAUGCUCUACGAGUAGGGUUUUGAAAGUACGGGACGAAUAAGGAUCGGCUCACUCCGUGCCAGCAGCCGCGGUAAUACGGAGGAUCCGAGCGUUAUCCGGAGCCAUUGGGUUUAAAGGGUGCGUCGGUUUUUUUAUAAGUUAGCGGUGAAAUACCGAUGCUCAACAUCGGGGCUGCCGCUGUUACUGUAGGCCUCGAGCUCGGCUGCAGCAGGCGGACUGUGUAGUGUAGCGGU
rnacentral:rRNA from 1 species